rnacentral:tRNA from 1 species
AAUGUAUAUAUUAGUUCAUGUUACGGCCAUGAAGUAGGCAUUUUAUGCCAUACAUUU